UGCACUUUUCAUGUCUCCAUUCAAGCUUCUUUUCUUCUCUUUUCUCUUCUUCUCUUCGGAAGUUUUUCAAAGAAGGGAAGGGGAGG
rnacentral:ribozyme from 1 species